CCCUUAGAUGUCCUGGGCCGCACGCGCGUUACACUGAUGCAUUCAACGAGCUUAUAACCUUGGCCGAGAGGCCUGGGCAAUCUUGUUAACGUGCAUCGUGAUAGGGAUAGAUUAUUGAAAUUAUUAAUCUUGAACGAGGAAUUCCUAGUAAACGCAGAUCAUCAAUCUGCAUUGAUUACGUCCCUGCCCUUUGUACACACCGCCCGUCGCACCUACCGAUUGGAUGGUCCGGUGAAGCCUCGGAAUUGUGGUUCUUGCCGCUUUAUUGUAGCGUGACCGCGAGAACUUGUCUAAACCUUAUCAUCUAGAGGAAGGUGAAGUCGUAACA
rnacentral:rRNA from 1 species